rnacentral:rRNA from 1 species
AGUGAACGCUAGCGGCAGGCCUAAUACAUGCAAGCUGAACGGUAAAUGUUGUAGCAAUACAAUAUGAGAGUAGCGUAAGGGUGCGUAACACGUAUGCAAUCUACCCGCAACAGGAGGAUAGCUCCCCGAAAGGGGAAUUAAUACUCCAUAAGAUCACGAGAGGGCAUCUGAUUGUGAUUAAACUCCAAGGGGUUGCGGAUGAGCAUGCGUCUGAUUAGUUAGUUGGUGAGGUAACGGCUCACCAAGACGAUGAUCAGUAGGGGAACUGAGAGGUUGAUCCCCCACACUGGCACUGAGAUACGGGCCAGACUCCUACGGGAGGCAGCAGUAGGGAAUAUUGGUCAAUGGGUGAAAGCCUGAACCAGCCAUGCCGCGUGCAGGAAGAAAGCCUUCUGGGUUGUAAACUGCUUUUAUCUGGGGAUAAAAUACCCGUGCGCGGGGAAUUGAAGGUACCAGAUGAAUAAGCCACGGCUAACUACGUGCCAGCCGCCGCUGUAA